GCAGGGCUGGCCGCCGGGGCUUGGGGAGGCGGGUGGCCUGGGAGACUGUGACUGCGGCUAGGCCGAGCCCGCAGCCGCCGCCCUCGGUGCCGCCCGUUCCCGCAGGCGCUGUGCGGGGCGGGCGCGGGACUCACCUGCCCUGAGCCGCCGGCCGGAAGCGUCAGGCGGGGGGCAGGUUAAGAUCGGGAGAGUCUGGCCAUCAGGAAACCUCUGCUCGGGGAGGCACAGACACCUAAGUCUGGGCAGGGUACCGACGAAGAGAUGUCUGCCUUGACAAAUAACAGCAGAAAGUACUCGAGGAAGCAGAGAUACAGAAGAAAUGACAUGGAAGGCGGGAAUACAUCUGAGUAUAGAAGAGUCCGGAGAAAUCAUAGGACAAAUCGAGAUAGGCAGGGCUCACCAGGAGCAACUGAGCACGUGGAGAAUAAAAGGUGUUUGAAUAAUAAACGUGGGUGAUCUUCAGGAAUGAACGAAGCCUGAGACUCCCUUCCAAUAUUGCUGUGUAAACUGUGUCUCAUUAUUUUCCUGCGACUCCACACAGGUCCAGAGUGAGGAAAAAGUAGUUUUAUUUUGGGGCAUUGGACCGCAACAGGUCUCCACUAAAAACCAAAUUAGAUUUAAGUUUACAUCCACAUCCUUGUAUGUGUCAAAGGAUCUUCAUUUAGACAUAUGUACU